UUUGCAGGAUAAAUGUGUAUCGGUUAAAUGCUUUUUGUUGUGCAUUUCUUGCCGAAAGUUUUCCUUGCUAUAGUAAUUUGAGGAAAGUGGGCAGUUGGGCUGAGCUUGAUAAUCUCUUUUGCCAACAAUCAUUUUCCUCUCAUUA
rfam:Triticum aestivum genome assembly, contig: Triticum_aestivum_CS42_TGACv1_scaffold_032348_1BL